rnacentral:rRNA from 1 species
GCAAGUCGAGCGCUCUCUUCGGAGGGAGCGGCGGACGGGUGAGUAACGCGUGGGGAUGUGCCCAACUCUGCGGAAUAGCCACUGGAAACGGUGAGUAAUACCGCAUACGCCCUUAGGGGGAAAGAUUUAUCGGAGUUGGAUCAACCCGCGUUGGAUUAGGUAGUUGGUGGGGUAAUGGCCUACCAAGCCGACGAUCCAUAGCUGGUUUGAGAGGAUGAUC